rnacentral:lncRNA from 1 species
CCUCAGAUAUUUGUGCCCCCUCAGAUAUUUGUGCCCCCUAAGACAUUUGGGGUGCAUGAAGCCGCUGAACCUUUGUAUUGUUAACACAAGCUCACCCAAGACACAGUCAAGACUACUUUUUGACAAGGGAAUUUUCACAGUGUAUGAUUAUGUAUUUGGCUCUGGUACGAGACUUUAUGUGACAGACAAUCACGUACGUAAACCCAAAGUGACCGUCUACCCAGCGUCCAACCCUGAGUCGAAUGGGAAGAUCACCCUGCUAUGUCUGGCUAGAGACAUGUUUCCAGACUUGGUCAAGAUUUCAUGGGAGAUGGAGGAUGAAUGCGGUCAAACAGUGGAGGUGUCCAAAGCAGAGACGGAACAGCUGGAGCAGAGGGAGGAAGGGCGGACGACCAGUAUGAUCAUCAUUGAUAAAGAGAAUGCGUACAGGAACAAAUACAUCUGUUCUGUGGAGCAUGAAUGGCGCGCUCAAGAUGUUGACAUGCUAAAAGAUCGCUUCUUCUUCAUGUGCAGUCUGAACCUGGCCUCUCUGGUUUAUACAGUGAUGAUAGUGAAGAGCAUGGUGUACUGCUGUGGGCUCUCUCUCCUGCUGCACAACAGGAACAUGGGGAAGUGGACACAACACGUGUAGAAAGGAUACCACCCAGUAUGGAUAAAGAUGUUGUAGGCUGGGAAUAACAUGGAUUUUACAUCCUAUUGAGGUCUAACAUUCAUUUGUAGGCCAAUUUUCUUAAAUUUCUUAACUUUAUAUUUAAGAUGCUAAAAUAUUUUGAGCCAUAGAUUUCAUGUCUUCCCAUAACUUCAACUGCCAAUUACGACAUUAAUUGCAGAACAUUUCAUGUAAAUUGUGUUUCCCUGCUGAAAAUGAAAAUGAAGCCUAAUAUUACACUUUUUAUGAUUGUGGGCGCUACCCACUGCAGACACUUGAAUAAAGGUUAAGUUAAGGUUGUGUGAAAAAUAAAAUCUUGAAGGUAGAUCCUUACGAUUUAAAUGUAGACUAUUUUAUGAAAGUUGCCCUUGAGUAUCUGUCAUAGCUUAAAUAACUUUUUACAAAAUCUGUAUUUGAUUUAUACCAAAAUAUUAACCUAAGUGUUAUAUUUACCGAUACAUUAUUAAAUAUGUAGGGCCAUGAUAUCCAAAAGUCCUAUGUAACAUUAUCCAAUAUAAUAUUUAGUAACUUGUCGUGUGCAAUGAAGUGUUUUUCGCCCCAAUAAAUUUUUGUUUUCUAACAUAUUUCAUAUCAUAAUUCAAUUAUUUUGUUCAUGAAGAUGAGUAAUAGAAAAUACAUAUUUUAUAUUUUCUUUGAAGAACAAAAAUAAGUGCUUAUUGAGCAGACAAAUUGGGCUAUGAGUGAAUUUAUUCAUUGUUUUUUUUACAUUGAUGUUGUUUACAUUGAUAGGUUUGUAUGAAGAGUGACAUUUUCCUUGCGUAACACAUUAAUCAUGUCCUUUCAGAUGGGGAAGGGUUUAAUAAUCGCUGCAUGAAAGAAAUGUUACAACAAACAUGGCUCUGCAAAGUAUUCUACAUACUGUAUUGGGCUGUUUUGUAUGAUGAAAUUGUCACCAUAACAGAAAAAAAUAAAGGUUACUUAAUCCCCCC